rnacentral:misc_RNA from 1 species
GUGAAUCAUCGAAUUUUUGAACGCAAAUUGCACUCUCCUCGGAGCGUAUGCCUGUUUGAGGGUCAGCCUCUAAAAAAUCGACAUCGUUGCUGUUUCGCGGUGGCGUUCGUCGGACAUUGGGUUAUCUUCAAUCCUUUUGGGUUUUAAGCGACUUAAAUUUUUCUUUUUGUUUCCCUGACCUUUUCUAAUAUUUAUUUCUUUACACGUUUAAUGUAUCGCUUUUUAUUAGCCGUGACCUUCAUAUCGCCUCUCGUCCUUCAUCUUUCAUUCACUGAC